CCUACGGGUGGCAGCAGUGGGGAAUAUUGGACAAUGGGCGAAAGUCUGAUCCAGCCAUGCCGCGUGUGUGAAGAAGGCCUUCGGGUUGUAAAGCACUUUCAGUGGGGAAGAAAGCCUUGGGGCUAAUACCCUCGAGGAAGGACAUCACCCACAGAAGAAGCACCGGCUAACUCCGUGCCAGCAGCCGCGGUAAUACGGAGGGUGCGAGCGUUAAUCGGAAUUACUGGGCGUAAAGCGCGCGUAGGCGGUCUGAUAAGCCGGUUGUGAAAGCCCCGGGCUCAACCUGGGAACGGCAUCCGGAACUGUCAGGCUAGAGUGCAGGAGAGGAAGGUAGAAUUCCCGGUGUAGCGGUGAAAUGCGUAGAGAUCGGGAGGAAUACCAGUGGCGAAGGCGGUCUUCUGGACUGACACUGACGCUGAGGUGCGAAAGCGUGGGUAGCAAACAGGAUUAGAUACCCUAGUAGUC
rnacentral:rRNA from 1 species